AUGUGAAUACAUAGCAUGCAAGAAGGCAGACCCGGAGAACUGAAACAUCUUAGUACCCGGAGGAAGAGAAAGAAAAAUCGAUUCCCUGAGUAGCGGCGAGCGAAACGGGAAGAGCCCAAACCAAUAAGCUUGCUUAUUGGGGUUGUAGGACACUCUGUACGGAGUUACAAAAGAAUUUGUUAGACGAAUAACCUGGAAAGGUUAAUCAGAGAAGGUAAUAAUCCUGUAGUCGAAAACGAAUUCUCUCUUGAGUGGAUCCUGAGUACGACGGAGCACGUGAAAUUCCGUCGGAAUCUGGGAGGACCAUCUCCUAAGGCUAAAUACUCUCUAGUGACCGAUAGUGAACCAGUACCGUGAGGGAAAGGUGAAAAGUACCCCGGAAGGGGAGUGAAAGAGAA
rnacentral:rRNA from 1 species